rnacentral:rRNA from 1 species
ACACGACUACAUUAGAUACCCGUGUAGUCCUAGCCGUAAACGAUACUCGCUAGGUGUCGGCCACGGUGCGACCGUUGUCGGUGCCGUAGGGAAGCCGUGAAGCGAGCCACCUGGGAAGUACGGCCGCAAGGCUGAAACUUAAAGGAAUUGGCGGGGGAGCACAACAACGGGUGGAGCUCGCGGUUUAAUUGGAUUCAACGCCGGAAAUCUUACCGGGACCGACAGCAACAUGAAGGCCAGGCUGAAGACUUUGCCGGAUUAGCUG